AGGCUGGCCUUGAACUCAGAAAUCCGCCUGCCUCUGCCUCCCGAGUGCUGGGAUUAAAGGCCUGCGCCACCAGGCCCGGUGUCUGAUUCUAUUUGCUUUCUCACAAAUUAGUGUCGGACAAAUCGAACCUUAACGCCUUUGCCCACAACCCAGCCGGCUCACUCGCUGUACAGGUUGCUCCAGAUCAAGGGGCGUGGACUUCUGUAUCAACUCAGCAUUGAUUGGCUCUCA
rnacentral:lncRNA from 1 species